AUGCGUUAGCUGCGAUACUGAAAAUAAAUUUCCACAUCUAGCAAUCAUCGUUUAUGGUAUGGACUACGAGGGUAUCUAAUCCUCUUUGCUACCCAUACUUUCGCGCCUCAGCGUCAGUGUUGAUCCAGAAAGCCGCCUUCGCAACUGGUGUUCUACAUAAUAUCUACGAAUUUCACCUCUACACUAUGUAUUCCGCUUUCCUCUAUCAAACUCUAGUCGAGCAGUUUUAAUUGCAGUUCCAAAGUUAAGCUUUGGGAUUUCACAAUUAACUAACUCAACGGCCUACGCGCGCUUUACGCCCAGUAAUUCCGAACUACGCUAGGUCCCUUCGUAUUACCGCGGCUGCUGGCACGAAGUUAGCCGGACCUUAUUCUUAGGGUACAGUCAUUAUCUUCCCCUACAAAAGAGCUUUACAACCCAAAGGCCUUCUUCACUCACGCGGCAUCGCUGCAUCAGAGUUUCCUCCAUUGUGCAAGAUUCCCCACUGCUGCCUCCCGUA
rnacentral:rRNA from 1 species